rnacentral:rRNA from 1 species
AGAAUCAACGCUGGCGGCGUGCCUAACACAUGCAAGUCGAACGAGAAAGUGGAGCAAUCCAUGAGUAAAGUGGCGCACGGGUGAGUAACACGUGACUAACCUACCCUUGAGUGGGGGAUAACCUAGGGAAACCUGGGCUAAUACCGCAUAAUACCUUCGGGUCAAAGGAGCAAUUCGCUUAAGGAGGGGGUCGCGGCCGAUUAGUUAGUUGGCGGGGUAAUGGCCCACCAAGACUGUGAUCGGUAUCCGGCCUGAGAGGGCGCACGGACACACUGGAACUGAAACACGGUCCAGACUCCUACGGGAGGCAGCAGUGGGGAAUUUUGCGCAAUGGGGGAAACCCUGACGCAGCAACGCCGCGUGGAGGAUGAAGUUCCUUGGGACGUAAACUCCUUUCGAUCGGGACGAUUAUGACGGUACCGGAAGAAGAAGCCCCGGCUAACUUCGCGCCAGCAGCCGC